GAUGAAGAACUUAGUGAAAUGCGAUAAGUAAUGUGAAUUGCAGAAUUCAGUGAAUCAUCGAAUCUUUGAACGCACAUUGCGCCCGCCAGUAUUCUGGCGGGCAUGCCUGUUCGAGCGUCAUUACAACCCUCAGGCCCCCGGGCCUGGCGUUGGGGAUCGGCGGAGCCCCCCGUGGGCACACGCCGUCCCCCAAAUGCAGUGGCGGUCCCGCCGCAGCUUCCAUCGCGUAGUAGCUAACACCUCGCGACUGGAGAGCGGCGCGGCCACGCCGUAAAACACCCAACUCUUCUGAAGUUGACCUCGAAUCAGGUAGGAAUACCCGCUGAACUUAAGCAUAUCAAUAAGCGGAGGA
rnacentral:misc_RNA from 1 species